GUUUGAUCUGAUGACUACUCAGUGCGCCAAGAGACAGGGAGAAGUAGCAGGGAGGCAGAUUUGUAGAGGAGAUGCCUGAGCUGGUAAACAGGAAAUAGUGCUCAGUGUGUCCCGAAAAAGUGUUUCAGCCAAAUGAAAAGGACAGGUACUCAAAUUUCAAAAAGAGGUGGAGGGCAGUACCAGCAGCAAUAAGGAGAACAGGGAGCAAUCCGUUGUUUCCUCCAGAAAUGAGUGGAUCAAUGCCAAUAAGAAUAGCAGGGAGCAAUCAGUUGCUUCCUCCAGAAAAGGACCUGAGCCCUAGGACCAUGCCUCAGGACUACCUGACAUGAUGACUCCUUGCUGUC